rnacentral:tRNA from 11 species
GCCCUGAUAGCUCAGUCCGGCCAGAGCGGCUGCCUUGUAAGCAGUGUCCGUCGCCGGUUCGAAUCCGGCUUGGGGCU